UACGGGGGGUGCAAGCGUUGUCCGGAAUUACUGGGCGUAAAGGGCUCGUAGGCGGCCAACUAAGUCAUACGUGAAAUCCCUCAGCUUAACUGGGGAACUGCGUGUGAUACUGGAUGGCUUGGAUUUGGGAGAGGGAUGCGGAAUUCCAGGUGUAGCGGUGAAAUGCGUAGAUAUUGGGAGGAACACCAGUGGCGAAGGCGGCUCACUGGACCGGAACUGACGCUGAGGCGCGAAAGCGUGGGGAGCAAACAGG
rnacentral:rRNA from 1 species